GACACCAGUGGAAAAAAAUCUAGUGAACCAACUAAAAAAGUUCAUACGACAAAUGAAGGAUCAGAGGACACUCCCCGCAGUAAGACUUCCAAGAAGCAGAAGGCAAAAGUUGGUACUGCGAAUGAUAAUACAACAGAACAAGCAUCGGGUGGCACUCCCUGCAGUAAGACUUACAAGAAGCAGAAGGCAAAAGUUGGUACUGCAAAUUCUCAGAACGAUAAUACAACAGAUCAAGGACCAGAUGAUACUCCUCAAAGUAAGACUCGCAAGAAGCCGAUGGUGAAGGUUGAUACCCCGAAUUCUCAGAACGUCCGUAGAAGUAGUAGG
rnacentral:lncRNA from 1 species